CGUAGGGUGCGAGCGUUGUCCGGAUUUAUUGGGCGUAAAGAGCUUGUAGGCGGUUUGUCGCGUCGGGAGUGAAAACUCAGUGCUUAACACUGAGCCUGCUUCCGGAUACGGGCAGACUUGAGGAAGGUAGGGGAGAUUGGAAUUCCUGGUGAAGCGGUGGAAUGCGUAGAUAUCAGGAGGAACACCAGUGGCGAAGGCGGAUCUCUGGACCUUUCCUGACGCUGAGAAGCGAAAGCGUGGGGAGGCAAACAGGCUUAGAUACCCU
rnacentral:rRNA from 1 species